GUGCCAGGCAGCCGCGGUAAUCCGGAGGUUCCAAGCGUUGUCCGGACUCACUGGGCGUAAAGGGUGUGCAGGUGGGGCAGCAAGUCAGAGGUGAAAGCCAGCGGCUUAACCGCGGACGUGCCUUUGAAACUGCUGCUCUUGAGUCCCGGAGAGGUUGCCGGAAUUCGUGGUGUAGCGGUGAAAUGCGUAGAUAUCACGAGGAACACCAGAGGCGAAAGCGGGCAACUGGACGGGUACUGACACUGAGGCACGAAAGCGUGGGGAGCAAACAGGAUUAGAUACCCGUGUAGUCC
rnacentral:rRNA from 1 species